rnacentral:rRNA from 1 species
AGCGAACGCUGGCGGCAGGCCUAACACAUGCAAGUCGAACGAACCUUUCGGGGUUAGUGGCGGACGGGUGAGUAACACGUGGGAACGUGCCUUUAGGUUCGGAAUAACUCAGGGAAACUUGUGCUAAUACCGAAUGUGCCCUUCGGGGGAAAGAUUAAUCGCCUUUAGAGCGGCCCGCGUCUGAUUAGCUAGUUGGUUGAGGUAAUGGCUCACCAAGGCGACGAUCAGUGGCUGGUCUGAGAGGAUGAUCAGCCACAUUGGGACUGAGACACGGCCCAAACUCCUACGGGAAGCAGCAGUGGGGAAUCUUGCGCAAUGGGCGAAAGCCUGACGCAGCCAUGCCGCGUGAAUGAUGAAGGUCUUAGGAUUGUAAAAUUCUUUCACCGGGGACGAUAAUGACGGUACCCGGAGAAGAAGCCCCGGCUAACUUCGUG